UACGGGGGGGGCGAGCGUUGUUCGGAAUUACUGGGCGUAAAGGGUUUGUAGGUGGCCUGCUAAGUCAGACGUGAAAUCCCUCAGCUUAACUGGGGAACUGCGUCUGAUACUGGCGGGCUUGAGGACAGGAGAGGAACGCGGAAUUCCAGGUGUAGCGGUGAAACGCGUAGAUAUCUGGAGGAACACCGGUGGCGAAGGCGGCGUUCUGGACUGUUUCUGACACUGAAAAACGAAAGCCAGGGGAGCAAACGGG
rnacentral:rRNA from 1 species